UACGUAGGGUGCAAGCGUUAAUCGGAAUUACUGGGCGUAAAGCGUGCGCAGGCGGUUGUGCAAGACAGAUGUGAAAUCCCCCGGGCUCAACCUGGGAAUUGCAUUUGUGACUGCACGGCUAGAGUGUGUCAGAGGGGGGGUAGAAUUCCACGUGUAGCAGUGAAAAUGCGUAGAGAUGUGGAGGAAUACCGAUGGCGAAGGCAGCCCCCUGGGCCCUGCACUGACGCUCAUGCACGAAAGCGUGGGGGAGCAAACAGG
rnacentral:rRNA from 1 species